GAUACUGCCAGUGACAAACUGGAGGAAGGCGGGGACGACGUCAAGUCAUCAUGGCCCUUACGACCAGGGCUACACGUGCUACAAUGGUCGGUACAAAGGGUUGCUACCUAGCGAUAGGAUGCUAAUCUCAAAAAGCCGAUCGUAGUCCGGAUUGGAGUCUGCAACUCGACUCCAUGAAGUCGGAAUCGCUAGUAAUCGCGGAUCAGAAUGCCGCGGUGAAUACGUUCCCGGGCCUUGUACACACCGCCCGUCACACCAUGGGAAUUUGUUGCACCAGAAGUAGGUAGUCUAACCGCAAGGAGGACGCUUACCACGGUGUGGCCGAUGACU
rnacentral:rRNA from 1 species